GCUAUACAUGCAAGUCGAACGCACAGCGAAAGGUGCUUGCACCUUUCAAGUGAGUGGCGAACGGGUGAGUAACACGUGGAUAACCUACCUCAAGGUUGGGGAUAACAUUUGGAAACAGAUGCUAAUACCGAAUAAAACUUCGUAUCGCAUGAUACAAGGUUAAAAGGCGCUACGGCGUCACCUAGAGAUGGAUCCGCGGUGCAUUAGUUAGUUGGUGGGGUAAAGGCCUACCAAGACAAUGAUGCAUAGCCGAGUUGAGAGACUGAUCGGCCACAUUGGGACUGAGACACGGCCCAAACUCCUACGGGAGGCUGCAGUAGGGAAUCUUCCACAAUGGGCGAAAGCCUGAUGGAGCAACGCCGCGUGUGUGAUGAAGGCUUUCGGGUCGUAAAGCACUGUUGUAUGGGAAGAACAGCUAGAGUAGGGAAUGACUUUAGUUUGACGGUACCAUACCAGAAAGGGACGGCUAAAUACGUGCCAGCAGCCGCGGUAAUACGUAUGUCCCGAGCGUUAUCCGGAUUUAUUGGGCGUAAAGCGAGCGCAGACGGUUGAUUAAGUCUGAUGUGAAAGCCCGGAGCUCAACUCCGGAAAGGCAUUGGAAACUGGUCAACUUGAGUGCAGUAGAGGUAAGUGGAACUCCAUGUGUAGCGGUGGAAUGCGUAGAUAUAUGGAAGACACCAGCGGCGAA
rnacentral:rRNA from 1 species